rnacentral:rRNA from 1 species
AGCGGCGAACGGGGUAGGAUCACCUCGGUGACGUACCCCCCGAACGGGGAUAGCGGCGGGAAACUGCCGGUAAUACCCGAUAAUCUGCUUUUGUUUUACGAUAGAGGCAGCAAAGGUGUGAUUCCGUCGGGGGAGCGGCUGAGGUCGUAUUAGCUAGUUGGUAAGGUAACGGCUUACCAAGGCGAUGAUGCGUAGGGGGUGUGAGAGCAUGGCCCCCACCACUGGCACUGAGACACUGGCCAGACACCUACGGGUGGCUGCAGUCGAGAAUCUUCGGCAAUGGGCGCAAGCCUGACCGAGCGACGCCGCGUGCGGGAUGAAGGUCUUCGGAUUGUAAACCGCUGUCGGAGGGGAUGAAGUGCCGUCCAGUAAUUCAUAAUCUGGGCGGUUUGACAGAGCCUCGGAGGAAGCACGGGCUAAGUUCGUGCCAGCAGCCGCGGUAAUACGAACUGUGCGAACGUUAUUCGGAAUCACUGGGCUUAAAGGGUGCGUAGGCGGCGGCACAAGUCAGGUGUGAAAUCCCCCGGCUCAACCGGGGAACAGCGCUUGAAACUAGGUCGCUCGAGUGAGGUAGGGGUGCAUGGAACUUCCGGUGGAGCGGUGAAAUGUGUAGAUAUCGGAAGGAACGCCGGCGGCGAAAGCGGUGCACUGGGCCUUGUCUGACGCUGAGGCACGAAAGCUAGGGGAGUGAACGGGAUUAGAUACCCCGGUAAUCCUAGCCGUAAACACUGAGCACUGGA